AGAGUUUGAUCCUGGCUCAGGAUGAACGCUGGCGGUCUGCUUAACACAUGCAAGUCGAACGGGCUCUUCGGUGCUCGGGGGAGACGGGUGUGUAACGUGUGAGGAUCUGCCUUCGUGAAGGGGAUACCCUGGGGAAACGGACGCUACUCCGCACAUGCCUACGGGUAAAAAAUUUAUCGCCCGCAUAUGAAUUCGCGUCUGAUUAGCUAACUGGCGGGGUAACAUCCUACCAAGGCCACGAUUUGUAGCUGGACUGACCAGAUGAUCACUCACACUGGGACUGAAAUCCUGCCCAAACUCCUACUGGAGGCUCCUAUGGGGAAUUUUCCACCCUGAUCUCACCCUUGACCGAGCGUGACCGCGGGCCGAAUGACGGCCUACUGUUUGUCCACGGCUUUUCUCGGGGAAAAUGAUGACAGAACCCUAGGAAUCCUCCUCGGCUAACUCCGUGCCAACACCCACGAUGAUACCGAUGACGCAAAUUUUAGCCCGAAUUAUUGCCCCUAGUGCGUCUUUAAGUGGUUAUUCAAAUCUGCUGUCUUAACUUGGUGCUUGACUCCGAAAAUGCAUUGCAAACUGGAUGACUUGAUUGAGGUAAGUCUCGAUGUAAUUCCCAGUGGAGCGGAGAUCUGCAUAAAUAUUGGUAACAACACCGCUGUCCAGAACGCUCACUUGCGCCUGCGCUGACACUCUAGGACAACAACUGGGAUAACAAACCCCAUUAGAUAUCCCUGUAAUCCUAGCAUACAACGAUGGAUACGAAGUGUUGCUCGCUGUCCACACGCUCAGUCCCUUAGUAUACCCGUUAAGUAUCCCGCCUGCAGAUGUACACUCUCAA
rnacentral:rRNA from 1 species